AAAGCAUUCUCUGGUGUUGAAGGCCCUGCAAAGCAGCAUCGCGGUGGCGGAGCGUCGUUUGCGACGCCCAACACACAAAACAAGCGGUGAAUGCUUUGGGGUGGGGUGACUGCGUACCUUUUGUAUAAUGGGUCAGCGACUUAUAUUCUGUAGCAAGGUUAACCGAAUAGGGGAGCCGGAGGGAAACCGAGUCUUAAUUGGGCGUUAAGUUGCAGGGUAUAGACCCGAAACCCGGUGAUCUAGCCAUGGGCAGGUUGAAGGUUGGGUAACACUAACUGGAGGACCGAACCGACUAAUGUUGAAAAAUUAGCGGAUGACCUGUGGCUGGGGGUGAAAGGCCAAUCAAACCGGGAGAUAGCUGGUUCUCCCCGAAAGCUAUUUAGGUAGCGCCUCGUGAAUUCAUCUCCGGGGGUAGAGCACUGUUUCGGCUAGGGGGCCAUCCCGGCUUACCAACCCGAUGCAAACUGCGAAUACCGGAGAAUGUUAUCACGGGAGACACACGGCGGGUGCUAACGUCCGUCGUGAAGAGGGAAACAACCCAGACCGCCAGCUAAGGUCCCAAAGUCAUGGUUAAGUGGGAAACGAUGUGGGAAGGCCCAGACAGCCAGGAUGUUGGCUUAGAAGCAGCCAUCAUUUAAAGAAAGCGUAAUAGCUCACUGGUCGAGUCGGCCUGCGCGGAAGAUGUAACGGGGCUAAACCAUGCACCGAAGCUGCGGCAGCGAACGUAUCACCCAAGACAACUUUACGGAGUUGACGAUUGACGGAGCGAAGCGACGUCAAAGCGUUCAUUAAAGUCGAGUUGGCUUAGGGAUACGUUCGUUGGGUAGGGGAGCGUUCUGUAAGCCUGUGAAGGUGUGUCGUGAGGCAUGCUGGAGGUAUCAGAAGUGCGAAUGCUGACAUAAGUAACGAUAAAGCGGGUGAAAAGCCCGCUCGCCGGAAGACCAAGGGUUCCUGUCCAACGUUAAUCGGGGCAGGGUGAGUCGACCCCUAAGGCGAGGCCGAAAGGCGUAGUCGAUGGGAAACGGGUUAAUAUUCCCGUACUUGGUGUUACUGCGAAGGGGGGACGGAGAAGGCUAUGUUGGCCGGGCGACGGUUGUCCCGGUUUAAGCGUGUAGGUGUGUGUUCCAGGUAAAUCCGGUU
rnacentral:rRNA from 2 species